CAGGCGUCUGGGGUAGGAGUCGCUGCCAUCAAAAAACCCCCACUGAUGAGUCUUAGUAGGCAGUGACUCCGAGACGAAACGCAUC
rnacentral:hammerhead_ribozyme from 17 species